GCUGAAAACAAAACAAAUUUGCGGUGCACAAACUUCUUUUUUUCGUGUUUAUUUGAAUGUAUUACUCAAAAAAAACUGCAUUUGUUUCCCAUAUGCUGAUAUUUUGUUUUCUAUUCAUCAAAUUAUUGUACAUAGAAAAUAAUAGGAAGUGGUUAUUUCAUGUUUAUCAGCAUAUUUAAAAAAAAAUGAUUUAAGAAUUAUGACACUUAAGACUGUAAUGAUGCUGAAUAUAUAUAUAUAUAUAUAUAUAUAUAUGUAGCUGAAUAUAUAUAUAUAUAUAUAUAUAUAUAUAUAACCAGCGCAUGAAUCAAUCUAUAUUCAUAAAUAAAAAAAAAAAGUUACAGACGGAUAAAUCGUAUAUAUUUAAACUCAAGAAAACAUUAGCAUCUAGUUUCUAAUCUGCAAAGAUGUUCUGAUACAUGUGUUACUUUGUGUUGAAACAGAUCGUCAGGUAUUCACUGAGGCUAGUUCUGUGAGGCUGGGUGUUGAGUCUACACGGUUCUAUUACCUCAUUUGUCAUGUGUGGACUAUAUUCCAUGGGGUUGCACAAAUCCCUCUGCUUAGACAGUGACAUCACUAUUUUGAAUUUACCUUUAGUACAAAGUGUGUGUGUGUGUGUGUGUGUGUGUAAAGCUACGUUGACUUAUGUUAUUCAUACAAUACCUACUCACAAAUAAACAUCAAAAACAAAGCCGGCUGCAAUGAAUUUCUGUGCAAAAACAGCUUUUACUACAAACACUUCCACACAAGAACAUUGUUAUCACACAAGAACAUUUUGAUAGAAAACAAAAAAUAUUUAAAGUAGAUAAAAUUAGAAUAAAUAAAAUGGAAAUGUCUACAUACUACAUACUAUUACUACUGUACACUUUUUUUUUUUUUUCUACUGGAGUACUCACGUGAAGGAUGCGUGCACAACUAAUAACUAAUAUCAUCACGCUAUAAAGGGUUGACCUGCGCUGGGUGCGCCCCUCCCCCUAUAACUGUUCUGUCUCGCGGAGGAGCUCAUUUGUGUGCAUCUGUGUGAAACACGCAUAGGAAAAAAGAACGACAGAAAGAACGGCUCCCCUCCAGCCGCGACUCGGCUCCCAUCGUUCAUGUUUAUGAGCCGUUCAAAAGAAUCGGUUCGUUCGCGAACGUCACAACUCUAGUAUUUAAGAGUAUAUUCUUUUAUCAGUAUUAGCACAAUGUCUAAAAUGCAUUCUAUGUAAAAGUCUAUUGAUGAUUGCAUCUUAUUUACAACAGAAUGCUAAUUAUAAUUUCAGAUAAAACAUGAAUGAAAGGCAUGCAGUUCAACAAAGACUAGAUUUGAUUUGAAGGAAACAUCAGAGGCUUUCAAAAGUAAGAGUUUUUAUUUUAUCAAUAUUUAUGUGAACCUGCGAUUUUAUACUUUGGUUACUUUGCCAUUAUUUUAACUUCUUU
rnacentral:lncRNA from 1 species